UUUUUUGUCUUUUGACAGAAUCAAAUUUGUAAAUUCACAAUGAAGAACUGCAGUUCUGAGAAUUCAUGAGCUAAAUUAAAUAUUCACAAAGCAAAUAACUACAAUUCUGAUGCAUUAUAUGCUACGAAGUGCAAACACA